GCUUUCAGGUGCAUCGGGUUUACACCCAUUAGGACGCCGCCCCCCGAGGGUGACGCUAAGAGUGGGAGGAAGGUGUUAUAAAGAGCUGGGUAGUGAUCAAUUUUUCCACUGCUAUGGACGUUUAGAUUUUGACAAGGACAAGAAGCCUUGUGCAGCAAAAAUGAGUGAUAAAGAGAAAUGUGAUAAAAAGAGUGGUAGCUCCAGCUCCAGCUCCAGUUCCAGUUCCAGCUCCAGCUCAGAGCAUGACGGGAAAGAAAAGUGUGGAAUAAAGAAGAAAGUGAAGAAGCAUAAGAAAGAGAAGAAGGGGAAGAAGGAGAAGAAGCACUGCAAGUAAUGGCAGCCAGGCUGUUGGUAGCAUCUGCCUGAUCAUGCGUCUUGGAUCCCAAGGGGCCCUCUCAUAUUUAGAUUAAGCAUAUCCCUCUACUUAGUUUCUUCUAGCUCAUUUUAUGUUGCUUACUGGGUAUCUCUAUGAUGGUAAUGGUUGUUAAACAGGCUCUUUUUAAAGGAACUUAACACUUGACAAAAUUACUUUAAAAAUAGAAGGGCCUUUUUAAAAUCUCUGAAGGAUGAAGCAGAAUUAGAUGUUUGGAUUGAAGUUAAAACAAAAUAAUCUUUUCCAGUGCCUUGAGAGAAGCUAACAUUUCGGUUUUCUAAAUUCUUCAGGUUGAACUGUGUUUUGGUUUAGUUUCACUUUUUUAAUCCAGGUCAAUGCAAUUAAUACACUUGGAAGAAAGAUCAGGCCAAGAAUUGACAGUACUAAAUGACUAUUUGGAUUAGUGAGCAAUAGUGGGUACUUAAGGGGAAAUUGUGGGGAACGCUAACAAAGAUGUCUUACAGAACACAAUUAUUGUUAACUACUUCAGUCACUGCUUCAAUAUGCAAGAUCUGUUAUUACAAUAAAUUUUACAAGUCAAAAAUAA